AUCCAGCUGACGAGUCUCAAAUAGGACUAAAACGUGCGUUCUGGAU
rnacentral:hammerhead_ribozyme from 1 species